CAUUAUACUUUUUAGCAUGAAAACUAUUAAAAUUAUUUAAUAAUUCCCUCAGUGUUGCUUUCCAACUGAUAUGCUUCCAAAAUAUCUGCUAUCUUGAUUGAUAUAUGUAACCUCAGUUAUCUAAGUAGCCAAUUAGACAGGGCACCUCAGCUCUUCCUGUUAGAAGUCUAUAUGCUCUAUACUAAAAUGGCAUUUGGGUUACCCAUUAAAAAGAGCUAUAAAGCCAAAAAUGUCUCUAGUAAAUCUCUCUUAAACUUCUCUACAGGCAGCAUUCUAAGCUGGAUCAUUUGGUCCAGAGUAGAGAUGAAGUUAUUUAUAUUUUUCUAAAUUUUCUGACUGCUAGUCAAUCUGGCUAUAAGAUUACUCACUUUAAAACACAAAACUCCACAUUUUCAUUUGUGAAAAGUGUGGUUAAUCAUAUUUCAAACAAACAACGUAAUACAAAUCAAAAAGUAGAGCGCAAAGGAGAAUCAAUUCGACUGCAGAACUAUGAUGUCUCAGAAUAUUCCAAUUUGUAGGGACAUUUAUGUUGAACAAAGCAGGAAAAAUUAAAAAGCUUUACAAUUUAAAGAAACGGUAUCUAAUCCUCAUGGUUUACCCUCCACUUGCCUGUCACUUGAUGGAGAACGUGGGAGAUAAGGGGAGUGCAGUGGCUUGGGGGUCUGAAAUUAGCCAGGCUGAAUGAAAGCAACUACUGUUUCACAGCAGGGCAGAGUCAAAACUGCUGCUUGUUGCUGAUGUUUCUGCCCAAAUACCAUGAAAAUGUGGAGAAGAAAGAAAGAACACUCAGAUGUGCCUGGAGACUUUCUUUUUAUUUUUAAACAUGUACAUCCUGAAAUUAUGUUAGACUUUCUGGAAUCACCUUCCAGGCACUUCUCCUUUCUGCCACCACAUGAAGAAGAAUAUAUUUGCUUCCUCUUCUGCCAUAAUUGUAAGUUUCCUGAGGCUUUCCCAGCCAUGCUGAACUGUGAGUGAAUUAAACUUCUUUCCUUUAUAAAUUAUCCAGUCUCAGGUAUGUCUUCAGUAGCAGCGUGAGAAUGGACUAAUACAGUCAUCAUCUUCCAAUGUGCCCUCACAGCUGUCUCCACUAGCUUCAACAUCUCUGCCUCUACAUUUAAUGCUGACUUUCCCACUUGUACUUCUGUUUAACCAGACCUGACUAUAUUCAACUGUGCAUUUUAACUUCCUAUCAUAUACAUACAUUCGCUUCUUAACAUAUAUAUACUUACAUAUACAUAUUUAAUAUCUAUGUUUAUUAAAAAGACUCCAAGAGGGGAGAGGUGAGGUCCUAAUUCAAGGUGACAUGGGUAAUAAAUUAAAAAUUACAAUCUAUAGACUCAGAGUCUAUCUACAACACUUCCGCUAAAACUAUGUCUAAUUUUCACUGAUACUGUAAGGCUAAAUCUUCACCAGUUGAAUCUGUUCAUUCACUUCUUCAGAACUUCAUCCUAGUCUUUCUGCACAUUUCUAAUAAAUGACAAUGAUAGCAACUCAGUUGUUUUAAAU
rnacentral:lncRNA from 1 species